rnacentral:misc_RNA from 1 species
AACGCACAUUGCGCCCUCUGGUAUUCCGGGGGGCAUGCCUGUUCGAGCGUCAUUACAACCCUCAAGCUCUGCUUGGUAUUGGGUGUCACCGCUCAGGUGCACCUUAAAAUCAGUGGCGGUGCCACCUGGCUUCUAGCGUAGUAAUACUUUUCGUUAUGGAGUUUAGGUGUAUUCUUGCCAUCAACCCCUAAUUCUACAGGUUGACCUCGGAUCAGGUAGGGAUACCCGCUGAACUUAA